GAUGAACGCUAGCUACAGGCUUAACACAUGCAAGUCGAGGGGCAGCACGGAGAUAGCUUGCUAUCUUGGGUGGCGACCGGCGCACGGGUGAGUAACGCGUAUCCAACCUGCCCAUUACUCUGGGAUAGCCUUGCGAAAGUAAGAUUAAUACCGGAUGUUGUUAAAAACCCGCAUGAGUUUUUAACCAAAGAUUUAUUGGUAAUGGAUGGGGAUGCGUGACAUUAGGUAAUUGGUGAGGUAACGGCUCACCAAGCCUACGAUGUCUAGGGGUUCUGAGAGGAAGGGCCCCCACACUGGAACUGAGACACGGUCCAGACUCCUACGGGAGGCAGCGGUGAGGAAUAUUGGUCAAUGGACGAGAGUCUGAACCAGCCAAGUAGCGUGCAGGACGACGGCCCUCUGGGUUGUAAACUGCUUUUAGUUGGGAAUAAAAAGAGGGACGUGUCCCUAAUUGUAUGUACCAUCAGAAAAAGGGCCGGCUAAUUCCGUGCCAGCCGCCGCCGUAAGAC
rnacentral:rRNA from 1 species